rnacentral:rRNA from 1 species
UCCUACGGGAGGCAGCAGUGGGGAAUUUUGCGCAAUGGGCGAAAGCCUGACGCAGCAACGCCGCGUGAGUGAUGAAGGCUUUCGGGUCGUAAAGCUCUGUCGAUGGGAAAGAAAUGUAUUGUGGCUAAUAUCCACGAUACUUGACGGUACCCCUAAAGGAAGCACCGGCUAACUACGUGCCAGCAGCCGCGGUAAUA